CAAGCAAAUUAGACGGUCGCGUGUAUUUUUUUUCACAUGAGGAAAGUCCGAGCUUCGUAGAGUAGCGUGCCAGUUAACGACUGGUGGAGGUAACUUCAAGGCUAGUGCAACAGAAAUAAACAGCUUUUUUAUUUAUCAAAAAUUAGAUUAUAUCUAACUAUAUUUAAAAAAUAUUUAAAAAUAAAAAAGCAAUGGUGGAAAGGCGAGGUAAGAGCUCACCGACAAUAUGGCAACAUUUUGUGCUAUGUAAACCCCACGCGAAGCAAGAUAAUAAAGCGCAAAAAGUUACUCGCUUUGCUUUUAAGAGAUCGCAUAAAUAAUUCGGCAACGAUUUAUUAAGAUAGAUGACCGUCCUUGACAGAACUCGGCUUACCGAUUUGCUUGUUUU
rnacentral:RNase_P_RNA from 1 species